UGCCAGACUCCUACGGGAGGCAGCAGUGGGGAAUAUUGCACAAUGGGGGAAACCCUGAUGCAGCGACGCCGCGUGAGCGAUGAAGUAUUUCGGUAUGUAAAGCUCUAUCAGCAGGGAAGAAAAUGACGGCACCUGACUAAGAAGCCCCGGCUAACUACGUGCCAGCAGCCGCGGUAAUACGUAGGGGGCAAGCGUUAUCCGGAUUUACUGGGUGUAAAGGGAGCGUAGACGGCUGUGCAAGCCAGAUGUGAAAGCCCGGGGCUCAACCCCGGGACUGCAUUUGGAACUGUGUAGCUGGAGUGUCGGAGAGGCAGGCGGAAUUCCUAGUGUAGCGGUGAAAUGCGUAGAUAUUAGGAGGAACACCAGUGGCGAAGGCGGCCUGCUGGACGAUGACUGACGUUGAGGCUCGAAAGCGUGGGGAGCAAACAGGAUUAGAUACCCCUGUA
rnacentral:rRNA from 1 species